rnacentral:sRNA from 1 species
CUUGGACCGCAGGGAGGGCAACCGAAUGGCAGAGGCGGUAACGGAGAGCAUCCCUGAACGGCCAGAAACGCGAAAUGCUGUCGGCCUUCCAGAGGCUGUUCCGAGUCUUAUUUGUGAUUGAAACAGUCUCGGAAUGCGGAGUCCUGAUCUUCAUUUAUGGAUGACCCUUUCUCCAGAUCCUUGCUAUGCUCCUGAUCGGGACAGUGUCUUUCCACCUUCGGAUCCGCAGAAAUCGAGGUGACCAGCCACCAAGCAAAGCACUGAUGGUUUCAGAAUGUGCCUAAACCUGCACCAGUGAGGCAAGUAUGCAAAAGGAGUCCCUUUCCGGGAUGGACACAGUUCCCAUAGAGCCGUGUCACCCUGCACAGGGUUGCAACCAGGCUGGUCUCGAAUUCCCAACCUCAGGUGAUCUGCCCGCCUGGGCCUCCCAAAGUGCUGGGAUUACAGGCAUGAGCCACCGCACUCGGCCUCAGACUGGGAUCUGAAAUUAGAGA